GACGAAGGAUGCAAGCGUUAUCCGGAUUCACUGGGUUUAAAGGGUGCGUAGGCGGGUAAGUAAGUCCGUGGUGAAAUCUCUGAGCUUAACUCAGAAACUGCCGUGGAUACUAUUUGCCUUGAAUAUUGUGGAGGUGAGCGGAAUAUGUCAUGUAGCGGUGAAAUGCUUAGAUAUGACAUAGAACACCAAUUGCGAAGGCAGCUCACUACACAAUCAUUGACGCUGAGGCACGAAAGCGUGGGGAUCAAACAGG
rnacentral:rRNA from 1 species